rnacentral:rRNA from 1 species
UACGUAGGGUGCAAGCGUUGUCCGGAAUUACUGGGCGUAAAGCGCACGUAGGCGGUCUUUUAAGUCGGGGGUGAAAUCCUGGAGCUCAACUCCAGAACUGCCUUCGAUACUGGAGAGCUUGAGUCCGGGAGAGGUGAGUGGAACUGCGAGUGUAGAGGUGAAAUUCGUAGAUAUUCGCAAGAACACCAGUGGCGAAAGGCGGCUCACUGGCCCGGGUACUGACGCUGAGGUGCGAAAGCGUGGGGGAGCAAACAGG